rnacentral:rRNA from 1 species
GAUGAACGCUGGCGGCAUGCCUAACACAUGCAAGUCGAUCGGUAAGGCUCUUCGGAGUACCCGAGAGGCGGACGGCUGAGUAACGCGUAGGAACACACCCUGCAGUGAGGGAUAAGACACCGAAAGGUGUUCUAAUACCGCAUACGGUCUUCGGAUUAAAGCAUUUAUGCGCUGAAGGAGUGGCCUGCGUCAUAUUAGAUAGUUGGUGAGGUAAUGGCUCACCAAGUCGAUGAUGUGUAGCUGGUCUGAGAGGAUGAUCAGCCAGACUGGAACUGAGACACGGUCCAGACUCCUACGGGAGGCAGCAGUGAGGAAUAUUUCACAAUGAGCGAAAACUUGAUGGAGCAAUGCCGCGUGCAGGAUGAAGGCCCUCGGGUUGUAAACUGCUUUUAUAAGAGAAGAUUAUGACGGUAACUUAUGAAUAAGGGACGGCUAACUACGUG